UUGGGCGUAAGAGCUCGUAGGCGGCUUGUCACGUCGGAUGUGAAAGCCCGGGCUCAACCCCGGGUCUGCAUCCGAUACUGUCAUGCUAGAGUGUGGUAAGGGAGAUCGGAAUUCCUGGUGUAGCGGUGAAAUGCGCAGAUAUCAGGAGGAACACCGGUGGCGAAGGCGCAGUCUCUGGGCCAUUACCUGACCCUAAGGAGCGAAAGCGUGGGGAACCAACAGGAUUAGAUACCCUGGUAGUCCACGCCGUAAAC
rnacentral:rRNA from 1 species